rnacentral:tRNA from 1 species
GAAUUGGUAGCUCAGUUGGUUAGAGUGCUGCUUUGACAUGGCAGAGGUCGCCGGUUCGAGUCCGGCUCAGUUCAC